CUCCGACCCAGGUCGUCGCAGCAGCACAGGAAGCUGUAACACAGAGACACUAGGAGGAGGAAACAGAGUACAAGGAGAACGUAUCCAGGAGCAAUUCCACUUCGAAUGAUUCCUAAGUGAAUGCCUACAGGACAGUUCUCGGUGACCAUGUCCAGAACAGGCAUAAGUGACGAUCCCCAGUACUUCCCUGAGGGACCACACUGGUACCUUGGAUCAGAACCCUGCAUCAGAACAGGCCUAAAUGGCCAUGGCUAAGAACACGGCUGAGUUGUCCUUCAACAGCAAUGCCAAUGCCAAUUCACCAUGUCCGAGUGUUCACAAGGCUCCUCUCCUGGAUGUAAGCUAAUUUGUCUAUGUCUCUUCUAAAAUCUCACACCUGGGACUGCGCGAGGAAUUUCAGAUAUGGAUUGAAAAGUUCAACAGGACUCUCACCUCUCUUUUGUGUACUUUGGGCAAGUGGACCCCCUUUAAGCCUCAGGUUCCUCAGCUGUAAAAUGGGACGCUAUGAUUCACCUUAAAAGUCUCUCAAAGUUUAGAUGUUGCAUGAUUCUAUGAUUCCAUUACCCAAAGCAUGAACCACUCACUUGGCAUCAUGUAAUUUCCACAGUUGAUCACAAUUUAAUUAAUUCCUCAUUCUAAUUGUUAAUAAAAAUGUCAAAACAAAUAUACUUAAAGGAGUUCUUCUUCUUCUUUUGGGUGAGGGGAAGUGUCUCACUCUGUUGACCAUGCUGGCAUGCAGUAGUGCAAUCAUAGCUCAUGCUGCAGCCUCCACUUCCUGGGCUCAAGGGAUCCUCCUGCCUCAGCCUCCUGAGUAGCUAGGACUACAGGCAUGUGCCACCACACCUAGCUAGUUUUUUAAUUUUUUGUAGAGAUGAAGUCUUACUGUGUUG
rnacentral:lncRNA from 1 species